rnacentral:tRNA from 1 species
GCCGGUGUGUUGGAAUUGGCAGACGAGACGGACUCAAAAUCCGUUGCCCGUGAGGGCGUAUGGGUUCGACCCCCAUCACCGGCACCA